AUUGAACGCUGGCGGCAGGCCUAACACAUGCAAGUCGAGCGGAUGAAGGGAGCUUGCUCCUGGAUUCAGCGGCGGACGGGUGAGUAAUGCCUAGGAAUCUGCCUGGUAGUGGGGGAUAACGUCCGGAAACGGGCGCUAAUACCGCAUACGUCCUGAGGGAGAAAGUGUGGGAUCUUCGGACCUCACGCUAUCAGAUGAGCCUAGGUCGGAUUAGCUAGUUGGUGGGGUAAAGGCCUACCAAGGCGACGGUCCGUAACUGGUCUGAGAGGAUGAUCAGUCACACUGGAACUGAGACACGGUCCAGACUCCUACGGGAGGCAGCAGUGGGGAAUAUUGGACAAUGGGCGAAAGCCUGAUCCAGCCAUGCCGCGUGUGUGAAGAAGGUCUUCGGAUUGUAAAGCACUUUAAGUUGGGAGGAAGGGCAGUAAGUUAAUACCUUGCUGUUUUGACGUUACCAACAGAAUAAGCACCGGCUAACUUCGUG
rnacentral:rRNA from 1 species